rnacentral:tRNA from 1 species
CGUGGUGCAGUGGUUAGCAUGUUCGCCUAUGAUGCCGAAUGCCUGGGUUCAAAUCCCGGCG